GAUGAACGCUAGCUACAGGCUUAACACAUGCAAGUCGAGGGGCAGCAUGGUCUUAGCUUGCUAAGGCCGAUGGCGACCGGCGCACGGGUGAGUAACACGUAUCCAACCUGCCGUCUACUCUUGGACAGCCUUCUGAAAGGAAGAUUAAUACAAGAUGGCAUCAUGAGUCCGCAUGUUCACAUGAUUAAAGGUAUUCCGGUAGACGAUGGGGAUGCGUUCCAUUAGAUAGUAGGCGGGGUAACGGCCCACCUAGUCUUCGAUGGAUAGGGGUUCUGAGAGGAAGGUCCCCCACAUUGGAACUGAGACACGGUCCAAACUCCUACGGGAGGCAGCAGUGAGGAAUAUUGGUCAAUGGGCGAGAGCCUGAACCAGCCAAGUAGCGUGAAGGAUGACUGCCCUAUGGGUUGUAAACUUCUUUUAUAAAGGAAUAAAGUCGGGUAUGGAUACCCGUUUGCAUGUACUUUAUGAAUAAGGAUCGGCUAACUCCGUGCCAGCAGCCGCGGUAAUACGGAGGAUCCGAGCGUUAUCCGGAUUUAUUGGGUUUAAAGGGAGCGUAGAUGGAUGUUUAAGUCAGUUGUGAAAGUUUGUGGCUCAACCGUAAAAUUGCAGUUGAUACUGGAUAUCUUGAGUGCAGUUGAGGCAGGCGGAAUUCGUGGUGUAGCGGUGAAAUGCUUAGAUAUCACGAAGAACUCCGAUUGCGAAGGCAGCCUGCUAAGCUGCAACUGACAUUGAGGCUCGAAAGUGUGGGUAUCAAACAGGAUUAGAUACCCUGGUAGUCCACACGGUAAACGAUGAAUACUCGCUGUUUGCGAUAUACUGCAAGCGGCCAAGCGAAAGCGUUAAGUAUUCCACCUGGGGAGUACGCCGGCAACGGUGAAACUCAAAGGAAUUGACGGGGGCCCGCACAAGCGGAGGAACAUGUGGUUUAAUUCGAUGAUACGCGAGGAACCUUACCCGGGCUUAAAUUGCAGAUGAAUUACGGUGAAAGCCGUAAGCCGCAAGGCAUCUGUGAAGGUGCUGCAUGGUUGUCGUCAGCUCGUGCCGUGAGGUGUCGGCUUAAGUGCCAUAACGAGCGCAACCCUUGUUGUCAGUUACUAACAGGUUCCGCUGAGGACUCUGACAAGACUGCCAUCGUAAGAUGUGAGGAAGGUGGGGAUGACGUCAAAUCAGCACGGCCCUUACGUCCGGGGCUACACACGUGUUACAAUGGGGGGUACAGAGGGCCGCUACCACGCGAGUGGAUGCCAAUCCCAAAAACCUCUCUCAGUUCGGACUGGAGUCUGCAACCCGACUCCACGAAGCUGGAUUCGCUAGUAAUCGCGCAUCAGCCACGGCGCGGUGAAUACGUUCCCGGGCCUUGUACACACCGCCCGUCAAGCCAUGGGAGCCGGGGGUACCUGAAAAGCGUAACCGCGAGGAGCGCCCUAGGGUAAAACUGGG
rnacentral:rRNA from 1 species